rnacentral:lncRNA from 13 species
UUCUCAUAAAGCAGAAAAAAACCCAAACUUGUGGAAUCAAGCAGCUUAUUAUCAUGAAGAAGACUUCAGCCUUCCAGUUUCUGGAUGAAACUAGGGACGGUAAUAUUAGAAACCUGAGUGGACCCUUUGCCUGAGAAACAUGUUAAUUUCUUAGUAAUCAGGACUAGAGAGCAUGCAAAAUAUGCAUCAAUAUAAAAUUGACUAACACAAAUUCCAGGGUCACAAGCCCAAAUAUCAGUAAGAUCUGUAAAUAUCAAGGAAAAUAUGGAUUUAAACUUUCAGAUCAGAUUCAUUCCUCCACUCAUAGCUUAUCCAUAUUAUGGCUAGAAGCUAGAAGUAAGUCUAUGCUCUGAUUAACUCUGCUCUGGGAGACAAGGCCCUCAUGAGAGAGCGGAAAGAGAGAGCGGACAGAGAGGGGGCGGGGGCGGGGAGAUUGGGAGCACUUCAGAGAAAAGAUCUGAGAGAAAAGCCUGGGACUCUGCCACCCAGUUCCCUGGCCCCUGGGAGGAGCCGUGGCCGAUAUCUGGGAUGAGGCAGCCUGUUGGUCCCUCAGCGGCAUCCCUAUCAAGUCAGCUGUGGAAACAGAAUCAAGCGUGCUGAUGCUUCUUAAAUGCCUCAAUCAAGUAGCCAUGACCAGAAAGGCCCAUUCAUCCUUUUACACCUUCAACCGCAGCCUUCUUCAGAAGGCAGCUUAGCAUUUGCCAUACUGGCUGAACAAAUGCAGCAGAAGCUAGGUGAGAUAGCCGCUUUUAUUGAACAACAC